rnacentral:rRNA from 1 species
CCUACGGGGGGCAGCAGUAGGGAAUCUUUCACAAUGGGCGAAAGCCUGAUGGAGCAACGCCGCGUGCAGGAUGAAGGCCUUCGGGUUGUAAACUGCUUUUAGUUGGGAAUAAAAGGGGGCUCGUGAGCCCCGUAUUGUAUGUACCAUCAGAAAAAGGACCGGCUAAUUCCGUGCCAGCAGCCGCGGUAAUACGGAAGGUCCGGGCGUUAUCCGGAUUUAUUGGGUUUAAAGGGAGCGUAGGCCGGCUUUUAAGUCAGCUGUGAAAGUCCGCGGCUCAACCGUGGAAUUGCAGUUGAAAUUGGAGGCCUUGAGUGCACACAGGGAUGCCGGAAGUCAUGGUGUAGCGGUGAAAUGCUUAGAUAUCAUGAAGAACUCCGAUCGCGAAGGCAAGUGUCCGGGGUGCAACUGACGCUGAGGCUCGAAAGUGCGGGUAUCAAACAGGAUUAGAUACCCCAGUAGUC